rnacentral:misc_RNA from 1 species
CUUUGGAAAUAUGUUACUGAAUCUCUGAGGUGCUGCUGGAAGAAAACUGUGUAUCUGUAGUAGAACCAGCAUCUCAUGUCACGACCUAUGUUCUACAUAAUCAUCUGUUCAAUGCCAGAGACGGGCGAUAUUAGAACACUAUUCCGAAAUGUUGUUAUCUAUUUAUGGAGGCUACGAGUCGUUCCAAAGUAAAUUGAAUCGAACAUCUCAAUUUUCCAUCGUAUUGUUGUCGAUCAAAGAGAAGGCCCCAGAUCAUAUUUAGACGUGUUUACUGUGCGAGCAAAUAGAUUGGGAAGCAAUCUGGGCUAGGCGCACUACUGGAGCCCUUUAAUCAUUACAGCUCCCAUUCAACAGUGCUUAAUGUUAAGGUAUACAACGUAAUAUUGUGUCACGAUGUAGCUUAAACCUUGCUAGUUAAAAAAUAUGCUAAUAUUGGUAGUGAUAUGUCACCCAUGAGACAAUUGCAGCAGAAACGGUAAAAAUUCCGGGAAGCUGAAUUGAAGUCAUAUUUCGAAAAAGUUAGAUAGUCAUCAUCGGCACAACUUGCAUCAAGAAAAGAGAUUUUCAGAUUACCAGCAUGUUGCAGCCCAACUCAUCUUUGUAAAAUCAGUUAUUAAAAACGGUUCUGAGUGAAAGCGCGUUCCGUUUGCACCCUGAAGUGGUCAUCUUUGUUACAAGUGAUUUACAAGUUGCUAAACCCGCGCUGGUUCAAAGUAGACUUGUUUGAGGAGCUGCGACAAAAUAAUAAUCAAAUAAAAUUAAAUGAAAUUUUAGCGAAAAGUUACAGAUAAGUUUUGUCCUCAUGAUUCGCGCAAAUCGCACAUUGGUCACUACAGGUUAAAGUUUAAUGUUUGUGAUAUUUUCUUCUUUUUAUUUAAAUUUAAUGCGAAUUCGUCUGAUACAAUCACUGAAAAAUUUCCUUUAGGAUCGCGAGCGGUGAAAGUGUGAAUGAUCCGCGAUUGUGCAAACUCAGCAGUCUCUUGUAGGAUUCGGGAUGAUCUAAAACGGUCGGUAAGGCUAAUCGACGCUACUAAUCAAGAGCUCACUAGUAAUUGUGGAAGUGAUAACAUGUUACUCCAGUGCAUUACAUAAAUCUGUGAAGCUUGAAAACAAGUCCCAGAUUAGAGUACGCGAAGAAGUCCCACAAUAACACAGGCCGCAUCACAUUCCAAAUGUUAUGAAAGAGUCACAGUGAUCCUGUAAACAAAGUUCAAUGUGGUGAUGUCAAUGAAGAAUUGUGUAAAUAGCAACGAGUAAAUCGAAAAAAGUGUUUCUAGUUUAAAUGUUGUGAGGAGAAGCGGCGGAAAAAUGCCAAAUAGUGGAAAUGAAGUUGUUCAAGAUCAUCGAAUAUUAUCUGAAUGGUCCAUGGCUGGUCCAGAUAAUCAGAGCGAACCAAUCCAAUUGCCAAUUGAUAUGCGCUUCAAUGAUGGCCAUCGAUUGUCGAUAACAGUUUACAGUGUUCUGAUGGUCAUCUCAUCAAUUGGAAAUAUUACGGUUUUGGUGCUACUCAUCAAAAGAAGAUUGCGUGGUCCUUCGAGAAUAGACAUAAUGUUAAUGCAUUUAGCUAUAGCCGAUCUACUAGUCACAUUUCUAAUGAUGCCAAUGGAAAUUGGCUGGGCGUACACGGUGUCCUGGAAAGCGGGGGAUGCCUUAUGCCGGAUCAUGGCCUUCUUUCGAACAUUCGGAUUGUAUCUAUCGAGUUUCGUCCUCGUAUGUAUAUCCGUUGAUAGAUACUUUGCGGUUCUGAAGCCACUCAAACUGUCAGAUAACCGGGGUCGUAUGAUGAUUCUUGGCGCGUGGCUCAGCUCCUGCAUAUGUAGUACGCCUCAAGCGAUAAUCUUUCAUCUGGAACAGCACCCCAACGUGACGUGGUACGAACAAUGCGUCACAUAUAACUUUUUCAGUAACGAGAUGCAUUACAUUAUCUAUUCCGUGAUGGGCAUGGUAUUCAUGUAUGCGCUGCCACUGAUUAUUAUCAUAUUUUGUUAUGCAUCGAUUUACAUAGAAAUUUAUAGGAAGAGUAAAAAAGUGAUAACAGAACGGUUUCGGCGGUCCAACGACGAUGUCCUGGGGCGAGCUAAGAGAAGAACACUUAAAAUGACCAUCACUAUUGUGAUAGUGUUUAUCGUGUGCUGGACACCAUUUUACGUCAUGUCUAUUUGGUACUGGUUGGAUCACGAAACGGCACUAAAAGUUGACCAACGGAUACAGAAAGGUCUAUUUCUUUUUGCCUGCACUAACUCUUGUAUGAAUCCAAUUGUCUACGGGGCUUACAACAUCAGGCGGAAAGGAGAUAAAUUGAACACGACUAUAAAUAAUCGAAGGACAUCUUUGGCGAAGCGAAUUGAGAGCAGAAAUUCUUCCGGCUCCUUACCGCCUUCAACUAACAAUGUACGAAGGACAAUUUGUAUGAGAUAUGACUAAGGAAAAAAGAAUUCAACGGUAGAAUUAAAACGACCACAGAAUAGAAUUAAAGGAAUGUAUGAUUUAACAACGAAGGAUGGCUAAUGGGGACUCUUAUUUAAAAUUCACUUAGGUUGUAGCACGAUACGUUGCGGCGAUUCUGUUGAGCUACCUAACUUAAGGACACAUAAUCUUUAUCACUAAGCACCAUCCUAGGACCAUAGACGCUAGCAGUAAGAGAAGAAAUCACUUAGCAAAGGAACAACUGUACACGAAGAUGCUCAAAGGAGUCGAGGCUUAUUCUUCCUUGUAUCCUGGUUGUGUAUAAUUUUUUAAACAUACAUAUAUUUAAUUAUUUUUAUAUAAAUUUAUAUUUUACGCUUAAAUGAAUUUGGAGAGAACUAAAUGAUCAUAACGAUAAGGCAUGAAUCACAAAAAAACAAGAUCACAAACUACUGAAUUGAAAAAUUAUGUACCUAUCACCUUUGUAAGGCUCAAUGUGAAAAAUAAUAAAAAAGACAAAGACUUACA